CACGGCGGCAAAAUGUGAGCGGACACUGAACGCUGUUGCACGUUGUCAAAACGUAGAAGCACGAACUGUAGUGGAGUGCAUAGGGAUUAAUUUUACACCAUUGACAUCGGGCAACCAACUUCUGUCAUGGAUGGCGUGAUGGUGGAUGAGGAUGAUUGUCCAGAGCUGGUGCCUAUUGAUGUCCAGCCUGGUCCUUCUGGAGUACAGAUACCUGUCACCAUUAUCACAGGUUAUCUUGGUGCUGGGAAGACGACACUUCUGAACUUUAUACUUACAGAACAACAUAACAAACGGAUUGCAGUCAUUCUUAAUGAAUUUGGAGAAGGCAGUGCCCUGGAGAAAUCUCUUGCUGUGAGCCAGGCAGGAGAGCUAUAUGAAGAGUGGCUGGAACUUAGAAAUGGCUGCCUCUGCUGUUCAGUCAAGGACAAUGGUUUGAAAGCCAUCGAGAACCUAAUGGAGAAGAAAGGAAAGUUUGACUACAUCUUACUGGAAACCACAGGACUGGCUGAUCCAGGAGCCGUGGCCUCCAUGUUCUGGGUUGAUGCAGAGCUUGGCAGUGAUAUUUAUUUGGAUGGAAUUGUGACUGUCAUUGAUGCCAAGUAUGGAUUACAGCAACUUAAAGAGGAAAAAGUGGAGGGACUGACGAAUGAAGCAGUCAGACAGGUGGCUCUGGCUGACCUGACCAUUGUCAACAAGACAGACCUGGUCAGUGAGGAGCAACUAAACCAAGUCAGAGACACUGUCAGAUCAAUAAAUGGUCUCGUCAGGAUUCUAGAAACACAGAGAUCAAGGGUGGAUCUAUCUGAAGUUCUGGAUCUGCAUUCCUUUGACAGUAAAGAUGGAGCAAAUCUGGCAGAGAAGCUGAAGCUGAUGAAACCCACCCGGCCACAUCUGGACCAGAGUAUAUUAACUGUGACCUUCAAAGUGGCAGGAGACAUCUCUGAAGAUGCUUUGAAUGUUUUCAUUCAGGAUCUUCUUUGGGAAAAGAUGUUCAAAAACAAAGAAGGACAACUCAUGACUGUGGUCAGGUUAAAGGGCAUAGUGUCGCUGCAAGGUAACGCCCACCAAGUGAUGCUACAGGGGGUCCAGGAGCUGUACGAGCUGAAUGAAACUCCACAGCUCUGGGAGGAGGAUGUGCGGACGAACCGACUGGUCUUCAUAGGUGAAGACUCUCUCACUUUACACACAGAUCUUGACACCAGUGUAUGUAUUUUGCAAGUAUGCAAAUGUAUAAGUUACAGUAAAAGAAUAAAUAAAUAAAGGCUUUUAAUGACAUUUUAGAAGUACAUGCAUGGGUGAGUGCUGUCAUGGUGGGUGGGGCCCUUCUUUAUGGUGCAUGAAGCUACUGUAGGGUGGAUGCAGCAAGGGAGGAACCUGGACAAGGACGUUCUGCAGGAGAAAUUUCUGUCAACUCUGGCUCAGGAUGUGUAGAAAAUUUUGUGACAUCUUUACAGCUCUUCUCUCUGAAAAACAUUUGGUUUCGGCUAUCAGCAAUCUUAAGACUGUUUUUGAUUAUUCUCCUAGAAGGUAGCAUACAGUAUCAUAUGGCUGAAACAUACUGUGAAGAAUAUUGUUAUAAAGCAACAUAUACAUCUGCUGUAGAUACACUAAAUUUUAUAUAAUGAGGGAAAUGCUGUUCUUAAUCCUUACAGAAGUCUGUGCUGUGUAAAUAAAGCAUCUCUGAUAACAGUA